rnacentral:lncRNA from 1 species
UUAAUAAGGUCGAAUGAGCAUGACUGCAAAAUAGAAGAGACUGCUAGAAAAAUGGAAGAAAGUGUUGGAAGAAUAGAAGAAAAUGCAUGACAAAUAAAGAGAUGAGGAAGAUGAUUGAGGAAAUGAGUUGGCCACAGAGAGGACCGUGAACACUUGGGGUACGUAUUUUUCAACUUUUAAUUUGUUUAUUUUUUCAUCUGUGAUAUAUAUCUAACUUUACUUUUAUGUCAUUUGUAGGUUUGGAAUUUUUUAUAUCUCGCGUUCGCAACUAUGUUUUAGGUGA